GCCUCUGAGGUCGAGUGGUCAAGAGGACGGACUCUCAACCCGGAGGUGCUGGGUUCAAAUUCCAGCCAGGGUUC
rnacentral:tRNA from 1 species